GCUGGGCGUGGUGGUGCAUGCCUGUAGUCCCAGCUACUCAGGAGGCUGAGGCAGAAGAAUCGCUUGAACCCAGGAGGCGGAGGUUGCAGUGAGCUGAGAUCCCGCCACUGCACUCCAGCCUGGGUGACAGAGCAAGACUCCGUCUCCA
rnacentral:SRP_RNA from 2 species